GAUGAACGCUGGCGGCGUGCCUAAUACAUGCAAGUCGAGCGAACAGAUAAGGAGCUUGCUCCUUUGACGUUAGCGGCGGACGGGUGAGCAACACGUGGAUAACCUACCUAUAAGACUGGGAUAACUUCGGGAAACCGGAGCUAAUACCGGAUAACAUAUUGAACCGCAUGGUUCAAUAGUGAAAGGCGGCUUUGCUGUCACUUAUAGAUGGAUCCGCGCCGUAUUAGCUAGUUGGUAAGGUAACGGCUUACCAAGGCAACGAUACGUAGCCGACCUGAGAGGGUGAUCGGCCACACUGGAACUGAGACACGGUCCAGACUCCUACGGGAGGCAGCAGUAGGGAAUCUUCCGCAAUGGGCGAAAGCCUGACGGAGCAACGCCGCGUGAGUGAUGAAGGUCUUCGGAUCGUAAAACUCUGUUAUCAGGGAAGAACAAAUGUGUAAGUAACUGUGCACAUCUUGACGGUACCUGAUCAGAAAGCCACGGCUAACUACGUG
rnacentral:rRNA from 1 species